AAGUCCGCCAGCUUCUUCUCGACUGUAUUCAUUUUGGGGUUUUUUUAUGUUUGUUUACUUCAUCGCGAAGUCCUUUCGUCGGCAGACAACGAGCGAGGUUCGUCGUCCUCGAAGAAGGAAAUAGUUAGCAGUCCAUUACACUGAGUUUAUGAUCAUCUGGUUUGGGAUAACAUAUCACAAUGACUUUUCUUGGCCCAGGCCACGACGGCGACUUGGGACGUCGUCUCUGCUGGAGGCAGUCAAAGUGUCACCUGGAGGAUCCCUCGUGUGGGACAGGACAGAUUACAGGGACAGCACAAUGGAUAACACCAAUUACAAGGACAUCAGUUAUUAUCACAGGGAUGUCACAAGUGAUGGCACACCCAGUUGCAGUGACAAUUACAGUACAACUGACUAGACUACUUACACAGGGUCUACAAGAGGUGGCAAUCUGUUAUUACUGGGAUCCAGAAAGUCAAGACACCUUCAUUUAAUGGGAAAACACAAAUUAUAUAGACAGCACAAGCGAUACUUAACAGUUUUAUUCCAUUCUGACUCACAAACAGCGUUGUCGUCUUGUUGCUGACAGAGAAACAACUUAGGACAAACAGUCACAGCCUUUAUUUAAAAACUGAUGGUGCCUCCUUUUUCAUGUUUAUUGUGCAGACAUCAUAGUAGAUCUCU